rnacentral:misc_RNA from 1 species
AACGCACGAGACCUGCGGACCUGCGGAAGGAUCAUUAAUGAGUUGCAAAACUCCCUAAACCAUUGUGAACCUACCUGUACCGUUCCUUCGGCGGGCGGCGUCAAGCCCUAACCCGUCUCCCUUUACGGGGGAUGGACCCGCCGGAGGCUCCUAAACUCUUAACUUUUGUUGGCAUCUCUGAGUAAAUCAAAAUAAGUCAAAACUUUCAGCAACGGAUCUCU